UACAUGGGGUGCAAACGUUGCUCGGCAUUAUUGGGCGUAAAGGGCUCGUAGGCGGUUUGUCGCGUCGGGAGUGAAAACACGGGGCUUAACCCCGUGCCUGCUUCCGAUACGGGCAGACUAGAGGUAUGCAGGGGAGAACGGAAUUCCUGGUGUAGCGGUGAAAUGCGCAGAUAUCAGGAGGAACACCGGUGGCGAAGGCGGUUCUCUGGGCAUUACCUGACGCUGAGGAGCGAAAGUGUGGGGAGCGAACAGG
rnacentral:rRNA from 1 species